AUCAUCGAAUCUUUGAACGCACCUUGCGCUCCUUGGUAUUCCGAGGAGCAUGCCUGUUUGAGUGUCAUUAAUAUAUCAACCCUCCUCAGCUUUUUGCAUGAUGAGUGUUGGAUGUGGGGGUUUUUGCUGGACUCUUUCUCUUGAGGUCGGCUCUCCUAAAAUACAUUAGCAAAACAAUUUGUUUACUGCUCAUUGGUGUGAUAACUAUCUACACUAUUGAUGGUAAAGCACAGUUUAGCUUCUAACAGUCCAUUGACUUGGACAACCCUUUAUCAAUGUGACCUCAAAUCAGGUAGGAUUACCCGCUGAACUUAAGCAUAUCAAUAAGCGGAGGAAAAGAAACUAACAAGGAUUCCCCUAGUAACUGCGAGUGAAGCGGGAAAAGCUCAAAUUUAA
rnacentral:rRNA from 1 species